GGUGGUGCUGGUUUAAUAAUUAUGAGGGUAGGUUAUAACAGCAAUGGCACUUUUGGGGGUUUUAAAGUGUUGGAGACUGUCGCAAUGAAUUUUUAUCCUCCAGGUGGAAAAUAACUUUAUCGAUUUGGGCGAAUUGUGAAGUAACAUUGAACCUGGAGGGUAAAUUUAGCUUAUCUGGGGUGUCUUUCGGGGUAACGAUCGCCUCCUGUUCUUCAUUCUCAAACGCUCAUCACUCUUAUUAAUAAUUUUAUAAAAAUGCAAAAAUGACCGGUAAUAAUUACCCGAUUGAAAUGUCUGGUAAUAAUUACCGGUCGGGGUUUUUUUUUUUUUUUUAAGUAACCGGCGGCGUUGGCGGGUUAAUGUGACAGUUCUUAGAAUGCAAUAAAUCAGGAGGCAGAUCGGUAAUAAAUGCGGUCAUUAUUACCGCUUUUAUAUUCCACGUAUCGAGGAUAAUUCGAUGUACAGUUUAGUUGCGAUCCGCAAGAACAUUAAGACGAGGUCCGGAGCGCGCGCGGGACCACGUGGUGUGGCAAACGCGCGGAACAAUCAAUGCAGUGACGUCAUAGGGCCAUCAACCAAUCCCAAGUUGGCUCCAUUCAACCUACCAACCUCGGCCUCCUCUCCUUCGCCAGUGGAAACUCAUCGAGUUCCGUCAGACGUUGUCCGACUGCAGUUCGGUCUCGACCACUGUAACACUCGGUCAAAAGUUUGAAUUAUCGGAUUUAUUUUCGAUUUUUGAAAAUUGUCAUUUUUGUCAAUGGACAAUUAUUGUUGGAGAUGCCGAAGUCAAGUGACGGUAAUUCAUUGAGUCUGUCAUGAAUUGGAGAAUAAUAUUUAUUUUACAGAAUUAUUUUUUCGUUUUAACAUUAUUUUCGGUGGUUUUUAUUGAGUUGCGUUCAUUAAUUAAUUUUCAUGAUUAAUGCGUCGUUAAGUUCGGAGCCGUAAAGACGGGUUUUUAACAUUAUUUUUACGCUGAUGUGCGGUAAAGUUAUCAACCUGACGACGUGUGAAUUAGUAGACGAUCAGUCGAUAAAUGCAGUAUAUUAUGCUGAGGCCGGUAAAAAUGCGGAAUAUCAUUGGCUGCCCUGGGGUAACCCCUUCAACACCACGGGGUAAACUGGCGCAGGAUGUGCCCUGGAAGGGCGAAAAUUCCGUGGAUCCCCGGAUAAUAGGAGAUAAAGGUCAUGAAUUUUCUCAUAACAGACAAAGAGAGGGAGAAGAACGAAUCCGAUGCUAGGCGCUAAGCCGAAUCCCUCAAAGUGCGGUGGAGCUUACACGGCUAGCGUUACCCCAGGUACGACCCAAGGGGAGCGAUGGGUGUUUUCUCUUCCUUGGUGAGAUAUGGGCGGUCGCAUUCCAUCCCUUAUUAGGUUCGAUCGGUUCGUGUGAUGUCUGUGUCUGUCUUGCACCCACGAGACUGAAAAAUCAUUGACGUUUGACGACCUCGGAUCAUAGUUUCGAUAAAUCUUUGGGGAUUGGGGCUAAGUUUGUUGGAGAAAAUGAAAUUACUCAUCAACUGGAGAAGAGUUGAAGAGCAUUUUCUGAUAGGGAGGGAACAAUGAGGGAAGAAUUACGAUGUUAUAGUAGUUAAUUUAUUGCAUUUUUGUUUGGUCGAGAUUUUUUUGUAGAAAUAUCGAAAAAUAAUUGAGUUUGAAAA